GGGCAACCUGGUUUGUAAAAGAAAGAAGAAACCACCCCUAAUUUGCUUCUCAUGAAAGCACUUCUAGAAACUGCAGGUGACAGCCACAUUUUACCUGCUACCUCGCCUUCAUUCUCUCACACAGGAAGAACGGGCUAUUCUAAGAUGGCAUCCGCUGUCACAAAUUGUGCUGGAUCAAUCAAUCAACCUCUGAGGAAUGAUUUAGAAGGAUUGGGUCCAGCAUCACUUUCGCUGUGCGUGUGUGCCAGUAUCCAUACUCAGCAGAGUUACAUCUCAACGCAACUCCUUCCUUGGGAGUGUCUUCAGGGUUGAAGAUAUUCUGCUAAGGAGUAGCAUUUGUGUUCUGAGUUGCAAACCACCCUGUGAUCUUUUGACAAAGGAGUUCUGAGCCAAUUCUGAUGCGGUUGUGGCAUCUAUCCAGCUGUCAGCACAAUAAGGAUGGUGUCAGCCUUUGCACUGAGCUUCCUUUGCCACUUUGGUUCAUGACCUGAGUGUUACUUAAACUUGAGAAGUGAAGCUGUUACCAGGCUCUGUAAGUGCUUUGCGGCUCCUGUUGUGAAAAGCAAUAUAAAAUAUAUGAAUAAAUAAAUGUUGUACUUUCCACCCGCCACAAAUAUCUACAAUUCACUGUCAUCAGCUGAAGUCAUUUGGGUAAGUUUUCCAUAUGAAGAUCACCACCAUCCUUCUUGGACUUGUUAAAGUACAGUAAUUAUUACUGUUUUUGAAUUGGCAUAGGCAAAUUUUAUGCAAAUCUCUGCCAACUUUUUUUCUGCUGACCUGUUAAGUGGGCACCCUGUAUGCAAUCAUACCCAUGUCUACUCGGAAGUAAGAUAGAGUAGAUCAGGCCUUGCUCCCCUGGUACUGGUCCAUGUGCAUAGUAAUGCAGCUGGAAUAACACUGCAAUGAAAUGCUCUGAUGCCAAUUUUUGUUAAAUGUAUGCUUUUUUUAAAAAAAAGUUAGCUUGUAAGAUAUAUAUUUUCUUCUAUUUCUUAGGCAUAUAAUCAACUCCCUCUCUAUUUAGAGCAUCCAGUUAUAAAAUGCUCUUAUUUUAGUAUUUUAGAUUUCUUUUCCAGGUGUUCUGUUUUAUUGACGCAACUUUCAGCCAUAGAACAGGGCCUUGGAUCCAGAGGAUCUUGUGUGCAUGUCAGGGACUGAUCAGAGGAGACCACAUCCCCAGCCUGACCCUUCUGGAGAAGAAGAAGACGACAGUUCAGAAUUACAACAGGGGUUUGAGGGAGGUCACAGCUCAGAGGCAGAAGAGGGAAAAGCGGGGAAAUAAUGGGAGAAGAGGAAUCACUAGGAGUGCAACAGCCGACAGACACAGUGUCUUUAGAAAGCAUUCCAGACCCCCCUCCUCCCAGAACCUGGAGAGCCUUGAAAGUAGUAGAGCAUAGAGCUCAGAAGCCAAGGGCCCUCAGUGUCGCCCGUAGGGGAGAUGAUGACAAAUGAAGAAGUGGGAGAAAAAGGGGUUGGAGAGUCACCCGGGACAACACCGUUAUCCCAAGAGGCUGAGUUCCAAGCCUCUCUCUGUAAAUAUUGAAUGAAAAGCAGAUGGAAAGAACUUUUCCUUGUAUUGUAUGUUCCCGGCACCCAGCCGUGGGAGUUGCUUACUGUCGCCUGACAAUGCAUGUGCAAAGUGCUGUUGGCCAGUUUUACCACAUGAGGUCCUGUUCUAGAGGGCCUUGAAUCUUUGGGGGAAGACUUUCCAUGGGGCUGCCGCUAGAAGUUAAAAUCUGAAAAGCUUCCAUAUACCAGCAGAAGUAACCUUGUCUUUUUCUGGAACUAAAUCAGCAUUUCCAGCUCUGAGAUUUUUAGAAAACAACAGCUACGAAGCAGCGAGGCAUACAGCAACAUAUAUGCCACCUUUGGGAAGAGCUGACCUACAUCAGAGGGAGAUCUUUCAUCUGAGCCGUAAAGCUGCUAAGCCGCAUUCUGUUCUAAGACGCACAUUUAAUAGUCUUGGCAGUGACCUUGCCGCAGGACAGUGGCUAGCGCUGAUAUUUUCUCACUGCCAUCCUCAAAAAGCACAAUUGCCUUUGCUUAGUUUGCUUUUGUUAGGGCAAAUUGCAGAUCCACCCCACUAGGCUGCCAUAAAAUAGGACACUUUCCCCUGCAUAUGGUGUCAUUGUGCAAAUUGUUCGGUGCCAAGUCGGUUUGCUUAUUUAGUUUUAAAUUUAUAUCCCACCCUUUCUCAAAAGACCACAGGGUGGUUUGCAACACAGAACGCAAAUGCCACUAUAUAGCAUCAUAUCUAUAUAACAUGGAAACCAUGCACUGGAGAAGGUGAAAUUCCCAUAUAAAGUAACAAGCUUUCUGCUGUGGAAAGGCUAUGUAAGUAAAGUGGUUUGUAUAUAUAUAUCCCUUUCAAGGUUGAAACAGUGAUACGUUUGUGUCAUCUCCUUCGUACAGCGCUUUUUCCGGCGUAUGAGCUGACUCCUCAAGAACUUUGUUCUGGGCACAAUCCAAUCAUUGGUCAGAUCAUCACAGUGACUUCAACCUCCAAAUCCAGUCCUCUACUGAAUGGCACACUGUUCCCGUUGAAAACUAGAUUGCUUGCCUUUCAAGGAAGCCAAAGUGUAAAUGGGA